GAUUAGCCAUGCAUGUCUAAGUACAUGCCGUAUUAAGGCGAAACCGCGAAUGGCUCAUUAAAUCAGUCAUGGUUCCUUGGAUCGUACCUUACUACUUGGAUAACUGUGGCAAUUCUAGAGCUAAUACAUGCAGCAGAGCUCCGACCUUCGGGGACGAGCGCUUUUAUUAGACCAAAACCAAUCGGACCUCGUGUCCGUCCUUUGUGGUGACUCUGUAUAACUUUGGGCUGAUCGCACGGGCCUGUCCCGGCGACGUAUCUUUCAAGUGUCUGCCUUAUCAACUUUCGAUGGUAGGUUACGCGCCUACCAUGGUCGUAACGGGUAACGGGGAAUCAGGGUUCGAUUCCGGAGAGGGAGCCUGAGAAACGGCUACCACAUCCAAGGAAGGCAGCAGGCGCGCAAAUUACCCACUCCCAGAACGGGGAGGUAGUGACGAAAAAUAACAAUACGGGACUCUUUUGAGACCCCGUAAUUGGAAUGAGUACACUCUAAAUCCUUUAACGAGGAUCCAUUGGAGGGUAAGUCUGGUGCCAGCAACCGCGGUAAUUCCAGCUCCAAUAGCGUAUAUUAAAGUUGUUGCGGUUAAAAAGCUCGUAGUUGGAUCUCAGUUCCAGACGGGUGGUCCGCCUACCGGUGGUUACUGCCUGUUCUGAACAGUCAGCCGGUUUCUCUUGAUGAUCUUCACCGGUUGUCUUGGGUGACCGGCAAGUUUACUUUGAAAAAAUUAGAGUGCUCAAAGCAGGCGUGACGCCUGAAUAAUGGUGCAUGGAAUAAUGGAAUAGGACCUCGGUUCUAUUUUGUUGGUUUUCGGAACACGAGGUAAUGAUUAAGAGGGACAGACGGGGGCAUUCGUAUUGCGACGCUAGAGGUGAAAUUCUUGGACCGUCGCAAGACGAACUACUGCGAAAGCAUUUGCCAAGAAUGUUUCCAUUAAUCAAGAACGAAAGUUAGAGGUUCGAAGGCGAUCAGAUACCGCCCUAGUUCUAACCAUAAACGAUGCCAGCCAGCGAUCCGGCUGUGU
rnacentral:rRNA from 7 species